GACGAACGCUGGCGGCGUGCUUAACACAUGCAAGUCGAACGGAAAGGCCCUGCUUUUGUGGGGUGCUCGAGUGGCGAACGGGUGAGUAACACGUGAGUAACCUGCCCUUGACUUUGGGAUAACUUCAGGAAACUGGGGCUACUACCGGAUAGGAGCUCCUGCUGCAUGGUGGGGGUUGGAAAGUUUCGGCGGUUGGGGAUGGACUCGCGGCUUAUCAGCUUGUUGGUGGGGUAGUGGCUUACCAAGGCUUUGACGGGUAGCCGGCCUGAGAGGGUGACCGGCCACAUUGGGACUGAGAGACGGCCCAGACGCCUACGGGAGGCAGCAGGGGGGAAUAUUGCACAAUGGGCGGAAGCCUGAUGCAGCAACGUCGCGUGCGGGAUGACGGCCUUCGGGAUGUAAACCGCUUUCGCCGGUGACGAAGCGGGAGUGACGGUAAUGGGUAAAGAAGCACCGGCUAACUACGUG
rnacentral:rRNA from 1 species